rnacentral:rRNA from 1 species
GAUGAACGCUGGCGGUGUGCCUAAUACAUGCAAGUCGAGCGACCGGACGAGAAGCUUGAUUUUCUGAUGUUAGCGGCGCACGUGUGAGUCACAUAUGGAUAAUCCACCUAUAAGACUGGGAAAACUUCGGGAAACCGGCGCUUAUACCGGAUGAUAUUUUGAACCCCAGGGUUCAAAAGUGAAAGACGGUCUUGCUGUCAAUUAUCGUUGGUACCGCGCUGCAUUUGCUAGUUGGUCAGGUAACGGCUUACCAAGGCAAUGAUGCAUAGCCGACCUGAGAGGAGGAUCGGCCACACUGGAACGGAAACGCGAUCCAGACUCCUACGGUAGGCAGCAGAAGGGAAUCUAACACAAUGGACGGGAGCAUGGCGUAACAAAGCCGCGUGGGGGAUAAAAGUCUUCGGAUAGGAAAUGUCUGUUAUUAGUGAAGAACAUUUAUGUAAGUAACUGGGCACAUAUUGACGGUACCUAGUCAGAAAGCCACGGCUAACUACGUG